GAUUAAGUUAUUAAGGGCGCACGGUGGAUGCCUUGGCACUAGAAGCCGAUGAAGGACGUUACUAACGACGAUAUGCUUUGGGGAGCUGUAAGUAAGCUUUGAUCCAGAGAUUUCCGAAUGGGGAAACCCAGCAUGAGUUAUGUCAUGUUAUCGAUAUGUGAAUACAUAGCAUAUCAGAAGGCACACCCGGAGAACUGAAACAUCUUAGUACCCGGAGGAAGAGAAAGAAAAUUCGAUUCCCUUAGUAGCGGCGAGCGAAACGGGAAGAGCCCAAACCAACAAGCUUGCUUGUUGGGGUUGUAGGACACUCUAUACGGAGUUACAAAGGACGACAUUAGACGAAUCAUCUGGAAAGAUGAAUCAAAGAAGGUAAUAAUCCUGUAGUCGAAAAUGUUGUCUCUCUUGAGUGGAUCCUGAGUACGACGGAGCACGUGAAAUUCCGUCGGAAUCUGGGAGGACCAUCUCCUAAGGCUAAAUACUCUCUAGUGACCGAUAGUGAACCAGUACCGUGAGGGAAAGGUGAAAAGCACCCCGGAAGGGGAGUGAAAUAGAACCUGAAACCGUGUGCUUACAAGUAGUCAGAGCCCGUUAAUGGGUGAUGGCGUGCCUUUUGUAGAAUGAACCGGCGAGUUACGAUUUGAUGCAAGGUUAAGCAGUAAAUGUGGAGCCGUAGCGAAAGCGAGUCUGAAUAGGGCGUUUAGUAUUUGGUCGUAGACCCGAAACCAGGUGAUCUACCCUUGGUCAGGUUGAAGUUCAGGUAACACUGAAUGGAGGACCGAACCGACUUACGUUGAAAAGUGAGCGGAUGAACUGAGGGUAGCGGAGAAAUUCCAAUCGAACCUGGAGAUAGCUGGUUCUCUCCGAAAUAGCUUUAGGGCUAGCCUCAAGUGAUGAUUAUUGGAGGUAGAGCACUGUUUGGACGAGGGGCCCCUCUCGGGUUACCGAAUUCAGACAAACUCCGAAUGCCAAUUAAUUUAACUUGGG
rnacentral:rRNA from 1 species